AGAGUUUGAUCCUGGCUCAGGAUGAACGCUAGCUACAGGCUUAACACAUGCAAGUCGAGGGGCAGCAUUUUAGUUUGCUUGCAAACUAAAGAUGGCGACCGGCGCACGGGUGAGUAACACGUAUCCAACCUGCCGAUAACUCGGGGAUAGCCUUUCGAAAGAAAGAUUAAUAUCCGAUAGUAUAUUAAAACCGCAUGGUUUUACUAUUAAAGAAUUUCGGUUAUCGAUGGGGAUGCGUUCCAUUAGUUUGUUGGCGGGGUAACGGCCCACCAAGACUACGAUGGAUAGGGGUUCUGAGAGGAAGGUCCCCCACAUUGGAACUGAGACACGGUCCAAACUCCUACGGGAGGCAGCAGUGAGGAAUAUUGGUCAAUGGACGAGAGUCUGAACCAGCCAAGUAGCGUGAAGGAUGACUGCCCUAUGGGUUGUAAACUUCUUUUAUAUGGGAAUAAAGUAUUCCACGUGUGGAAUUUUGUAUGUACCAUAUGAAUAAGGAUCGGCUAACUCCGUGCCAGCAGCCGCGGUAAUACGGAGGAUCCGAGCGUUAUCCGGAUUUAUUGGGUUUAAAGGGAGCGUAGGUGGAUUGUUAAGUCAGUUGUGAAAGUUUGCGGCUCAACCGUAAAAUUGCAGUUGAAACUGGCAGUCUUGAGUACAGUAGAGGUGGGCGGAAUUCGUGGUGUAGCGGUGAAAUGCUUAGAUAUCACGAAGAACUCCGAUUGCGAAGGCAGCUCACUAGACUGCAACUGACACUGAUGCUCGAAAGUGUGGGUAUCAAACAGGAUUAGAUACCCUGGUAGUCCACACAGUAAACGAUGAAUACUCGCUGUUUGCGAUAUACAGUAAGCGGCCAAGCGAAAGCAUUAAGUAUUCCACCUGGGGAGUACGCCGGCAACGGUGAAACUCAAAGGAAUUGACGGGGGCCCGCACAAGCGGAGGAACAUGUGGUUUAAUUCGAUGAUACGCGAGGAACCUUACCCGGGCUUAAAUUGCAUUUGAAUAAUCUGGAAACAGGUUAGCCGCAAGGCAAAUGUGAAGGUGCUGCAUGGUUGUCGUCAGCUCGUGCCGUGAGGUGUCGGCUUAAGUGCCAUAACGAGCGCAACCCUUAUCUUUAGUUACUAACAGGUUAUGCUGAGGACUCUAGAGAGACUGCCGUCGUAAGAUGUGAGGAAGGUGGGGAUGACGUCAAAUCAGCACGGCCCUUACGUCCGGGGCUACACACGUGUUACAAUGGGGGGUACAGAAGGCAGCUACCUGGCGACAGGAUGCUAAUCCCAAAAACCUCUCUCAGUUCGGAUCGAAGUCUGCAACCCGACUUCGUGAAGCUGGAUUCGCUAGUAAUCGCGCAUCAGCCAUGGCGCGGUGAAUACGUUCCCGGGCCUUGUACACACCGCCCGUCAAGCCAUGAAAGCCGGGGGUACCUGAAGUACGUAACCGCAAGGAGCGUCCUAGGGUAAAACUGGUAAUUGGGGCUAAGUCGUAACAAGGUAGCC
rnacentral:rRNA from 1 species